CUCAACUUCGGGAUUGCCAUUGAAACUGUUUCACUUGAGUAUAGUCGAGGACGGCGGAAUGAGUUGUGUAGCGGUGAAAUGCAUAGAUAUAACUCAGAACACCGAUUGCGAAGGCACCUGUCUAGACUAUAACUGACGCUGAGGCACGAAAGAGUGGGGAGCGAACAGGAUUAGAUACCCUGGUAGUCCACGCUGUAAACGAUGAUCACUCGUUGUUGGCUACUUGGUAGUCAGUGACUAAGGGAAACCGUUAAGCGAUCCACCUGGGGAGUACGUCGGCAACGAUGAAACUCAAAGGAAUUGACGGGGGCCCGCACAAGCGGAGGAACAUGUGGUUUAAUUCGAUGAUACGCGAGGAACCUUACCUGGGCUUAUAUUUUUGCUGCAUUCCCCUGAAAGGGGGAUUUCCUACGGGACCGCCUG
rnacentral:rRNA from 1 species